GCGAGCGUAGCUCAGGUGGUUAGAGCACCCCACUGAUAAUGGGGAGGUCGGAAGUUCAACUCUUCCCGCUCGCA
rnacentral:tRNA from 1 species